rnacentral:lncRNA from 10 species
GGAAGUGAAAACAGGCUGAGGAAGGUGAGAAUUAUCAGGAUAAAAGAGGCCAAGGAUGGAGAGAAUUUCAAGAGACUGGCCAAACAAGCAUGUGAGUCACAAGCAGCAGACGCAUCCCAGGCUCAUGACUCCCUAAGAGACCAUUAAGAUCUAAGAGUGAGGACAUGCCUGGGGGUGCAGGGGUAAGAGUGGACACAGGAGUACAGGGAUGACAGCAAGCAGGAGCGACUUUUGGUUCUUGGCACUACUUCACCCAAAAAUACUCUGUUUUCUGGCCGGGCGUGGUGGCUCACACCUGUAAUCCUAGCAUUCCGGGAGACCGAGGUGGGUGGAUCACCUGAGAUCAGGAGUUUGAGACCAGCCUGACCAACGUGGUUGAAACCCCACCUCUACGAAAAAUACAAAAAUUAGCCAGGCAUGCUAGUGCACGCCUGUAAUCCCAGCUACUCGGGAGUGUGACUCUGUCUCAAAAAAUAAAUGAAUAACCCUGUUUUCCCAUCUGCCAGGCUUUCUGCUUUCAGUCCAAGCCCUCUGUGCCACAGGUCUCUGCCCUUCCUCCUGAGAGCCCUCCCAGCUCCUUUGGACACUGCCCUGAUCCCACUUGUGAUGUGCUGUCACUCUCAGUGAGCAUUUAUUUUCUUUCUUUUUUUUUUUUUUUUGAGAUGGAGUCUCGCUCUGUCAUGCAGGCUGGGGGGCAGUGGUGCAAUCUCGGCUCGCUGCAACCUCCGCCUCCCGGGUUCAAGCGAUUCUCCUGCCUCAGCCUCCCGAGUAGCUGGAACUACAGGUGCCCGCCAUCACGCCUGGCUAAUUUUUGCAUUUUUAGUAGAGAUGGGGUUUCACCAUAUUGGCCAGGCUGGUCUCGAACUCCUGACCUUGUGAUCCGCCCGCCUUGGCCUCCCAAAGUGCUGGGAUUACAGGCGUGAGCCACUGCGCCCCAGCCUCAGUGAGUAUUUCUUAGCUCUCCUGCCAGAAGCCAUUGAUCACAUACUGUGCUCAUUUACCAUGGUCUCCUGCACAGGCCUGCAGAGCAGCAUGACCUCAGUGAUGUGCACUAACGUGAACAUCUCAAAGCAGCACUUGCUGGAUGGGUCACAGUUUGCAAAUGUGCACAGCACUCUUCUCUGAAUGAACAGCAAGUACCCCUUGUUUGUCCUGGUUAAAUAUUACCAUUUCUCUGAAAUUAAGAUUAUCUUACCCCAAGUGUUUCCAAAGAAGACUUAACGGAAGAGUCAAAGUUCACCUAUCUCUCUACCCAAGUUUUAACACCCAGCCUGGCUCCAGGUGCCAACCAUAAAGGCAGGAAUCCUAUCUGGGCAGCUGUCUGUAGUCACAGUGAAGCUGUAAGAACCCUGCCAUUUUCAAAUUUCUUGAGACAAUGCUCUGUUACACAGGAAAGUUCUACCAGGUCCAUCUGGUUAUUCCAAGAAUUCCCAAAGUUAUGGUCAAGCUGGGGCCAACCCUCUCUGGGAAGGUCCCACUGUCUGCACAGGGAAAUUCAAGUAACUUUGUUCACACCCAAAUCACGUUUCUGCCACCACUUCUUCCUUCCACAGGAGAGAAAUAUUUCAAAUCCUUGGGAAGCAGCCACAACACUGAGAUUAUCUUUUAACUGCAAGGAGGCAAUGUGUGAAAGUGAUAUUGUGUGACUUGGCAACUUACAAACACUGAAAGGUUUUCUCUGUUCAAUGCCACCACCUAUUCCACUUCCUCUCCUUGAGAUCAAUGCUGUCUGCCUGGGAUAAUCUGGCAGAAGUGCUGAGUGGGAAAGCAGCCCUAGGCACUUGCCUGGGUGGUCUGAUUUUUAGUGGACUGCUGAAAAAUGGACAGUACAAUGACUCCCUUUAGCUUUCCACCCCUUCAUCACCUGACAAGACUUAAUGAGAAACUUUUGGGAGCAGACACCCUGGAUCAUUCCAAAGCAGAGACCGAAAUACUCAGAGGGUACAAAGCAGCUGCCAUAACCAACAGAGGAAUUAGGGUGUGCCAGUGGAGGCUGUGAAAUCAACAACACUUGGCUUGCAGUUUCCUGCUUCCUCCUAGGAGGUGGGCAAACCUCUGUGGCACACUCAUAUCUUAACUUCCCAUUCACAGCUCUUUCUGUGCAGGAAGUUUUCUAAUCAUCCCGAUCAUAACCACACGCAAGGAAGAGGUCAUAAAAGCACAUGCCCACAGUGCGGGGUGGAAGCAGGCACUUAAUAAAGAACCUUGGAUGAGGAAGUCAACUAAAUGGUGCACUGGGAGUUUCAAAGGAUAUAACGACUGAGCAGAAAACAGAUUCCAUGGUCGAAUAACCUUGAGAAAUGCUGGGUCAAAUAAAGCUGAGCCAAUGUCUUUUUGUAGGAUUUCUCAGAGCCUUUAACAAACUAACAGGCCUUGUGAAUCUUUAUUUUGGUUUGUUUGUUUUUUGAGAUAGAGUUUCACUCUAUUACCCAGGCUGGAGUGCAAAGGCACUCCUCAGCUCACUGCAACCUCCACCUCCCAGGCUCAAGUGAUCCCCCUGUGGCAGCCUCCCGAGUAGCUGAGCCCACAGGUGCAUGCCACCACACCCAGCUAAUUUUUUGUAUUUGUUGUAGAGAUGGGGUUUUGCCAUGUUGCCUAGGCCAUUCUCAAACUCAUGACCUCAAGUGAUCCACCUGCCUUGGCCUCCCAAAUUGCUGAGAUUAUAGGUGUGAGCCACCAUGCCUGGCCAAGCCUUGUGAAUCUUUG